AAUUGAUAUAGAAAAAGAAAGUAAGAAGAGAUACUGGAGGGAAGGGAGAGGAAAAAAGGCAAACGUGGAACAAUGAAUUACAGAACAGGAAGAAGAAGAGAAAAGAAAGGCAAGAAAGGAGGCACCCUGCUGGCCAGUAAAGGACAAUAAUUUUGACUUCUGGAUGUAAACCAGGAAGUUGCAUGUUUAACAAGCAUCUCUAGAGACACUGAUACAAUUGAUCAGCUCUUUGCAUUUUGAGGAGGUGGGGAACAUGCUAACAACAUCUGCAAUGUGGAUUAUUAAAAGAAGAUUUUCC
rnacentral:lncRNA from 1 species